CUUCAACUUAACAAAAAAGUUAUUUUUUCUUUUUUCUCUCGCUCCCGUUUCCCAUAAGCCCCUUUGCUGGUAAAAACAGAGAAGGAAACAAAAAAACUGCAGUCAAAAUAAAAAAAAAUCACAAUAAACUGUCAAAUAUACAGUGAGGUUUGAAAGCUUGUAAAAUAAAAGUCAAAUAUAGAGCACAGGGUGAUACACUCGCUUCAAGGGGUUCGUUACAGUACAGAGUUAGGCAGCAUAAUGUAGGUAGGAUAAUGUAGGUAGGAUAAUGUAGGCAGGAUAAUGUAGGUUGGAUAAUGUAGGUAGGAUAAUGUAGGUUGGAUAAUGUAGGUAGGAUAAUGUAGGUAGGAGAAUGUAGGUUGGAUAAUGUAGGUUGGAGAAUGUAGGUUGGAGAAUGUAGGUAGGAG
rnacentral:lncRNA from 1 species